rnacentral:lncRNA from 1 species
GAUUCUCCGGUGGCAAAAUUGAAGUAAGCAAGCAGGCAAACAAACACCAGGAAGAAAAGGAGAAGAUUAUCUUAAAUGCAAGUUGUGAAGAAGGAGAAGAAGGAAGAGUAAGAGAGAAAGGCCACAGAGAAAGGAGAAGAAGAAGAAGAGAGAAAAGAGACCAACGUGUCUGGAUUAUAUAGAGAAGAGCCUUUUGGGGAAAGGCAGCCCAACCCCUGGGCUGAAAAGUUCAGGGCUGGGGACAGGAGACAGAGAUGUUGGAAGAACCUGGAGGAUGCCUCAAAUGAAAAUAUGAUGUGAUGUUCUAAUAGAAACAAAGGAGUGGGCUGAAAACAUACUUGGUUUUCCUGUGUCCUGAGGAAAAGGCCCCUCAGGAUCACAGCUCUUUCUGCCCCCAAUCUCCCUGAGUGAAUUACUGUUUAACAUCCUGUUCCCAGUCCUUAAACAUUAUGCAUGAUACACCAGAAACUGGAUCUGAGUUGCUCGUAUUUGAGAAUUUGAGCAAGAAAUGGGAGCAAAGUCUGAACAUUUUAAAUUUCAGGGUACCAUUUUUUUCUAGCUUUAUUAGAAAAAAAAUCUAUUAAGCUAUUUCCAGAGGGGACACUUUUACUAAUGUAUUUUGAAAAAGAGAAAACUAGAGCCCAGGGUAGCGCCGCUUCAGUUGAAUUUCUCAAUGACUCGGCUGCACUGGCAUCAACUCUUAGACCGAGAAGAAGUAGGAAGAGAGAUGUAGUUUGUUCAGGAACAACCUCCAGUGCAAACCCUGAAGAAAAGUCAGGAGCAGCUUUAGCUGAGCUGCCACCGUGCUCAAGGAGACUGGUAGCAGCCUGUGUUUUAACACAGCAGGAAGAAAAGUCUCCAAAUCAAAACCCCACUUCACUCCAGGUAUAAACCUGAAGGCAUUUAAAACAUUUUAUUUUGAAGGUUACCAUUGUUCAGUCAAAUUCUAUUUCUUUUCUUUUUAUGUUUUUCUCCAUAUACUUCAGUAUUAAAAGCCAUGUAAGGAUAGCUUCAUUUUUAUGAUGGAAAAGAAGUUAAAUUCAUCCACUUUCAGUUUGAAGUUUUUGAAUAAGAACCAGAUAUGAUGGCAAAUGCCUGAAACCUCACCUUUGAGAUACUGAGAUAGGAGGAUCAUUUGUUCAAGGCCAGCCCAGGCUACAAAGUGAAGAAAA